rnacentral:misc_RNA from 1 species
GAUGAAGAACGUAGUGAAAUGCGAUACUUGGUGUGAAUUGCAGAAUCCCGCGAAUCAUCGAGUUUUUGAACGCAAGUUGCGCCCGAAGCCAUUCGGCCGAGGGCACGUCUGCCUGGGUGUCACGCAUCGUUGCCCCCCCAAACUCCGGUUCGGGCAGGGCGGAAGUUGGCCUCCCGUGCGUGCCUGCGCGCGCGGUUAGCCCAAAAGCGAGUCCUCGGCGACGAGCGCCACGACAAUCGGUGGUUUUUUUACCCUCGUUCCUCGUCGUGCGUGCCCCGUCGCCCGAACGCGCUCUUGCGACCCUUACGCGUCGCCUCGGCGGCGCUCCCAACGCGACCCCAGGUCAGGCGGGACUACCCGCUGAGUUUAAGCAUAUCAAUAAGCGGAGGA